AGAGUUUGAUCAUGGCUCAGAUUGAACGCUGGCGGCAGGCCUAACACAUGCGAGUCGAGCGGCAGCGGAAAGUAGCUUGCUACUUUGCCGGCGAGCGGCGGACGGGUGAGUAAUGUCUGGGAAACUGCCUGAUGGAGGGGGAUAACUACUGGAAACGGUAGCUAAUACCGCAUAACGUCGCAAGACCAAAGAGGGGGACCUUCGGGCCUCUUGCCAUCAGAUGUGCCCAGAUGGGAUUAGCUAGUAGGUGGGGUAACGGCUCACCUAGGCGACGAUCCCUAGCUGGUCUGAGAGGAUGACCAGCCACACUGGAACUGAGACACGGUCCAGACUCCUACGGGAGGCAGCAGUGGGGAAUAUUGCACAAUGGGCGCAAGCCUGAUGCAGCCAUGCCGCGUGUAUGAAGAAGGCCUUCGGGUUGUAAAGUACUUUCAGCGGGGAGGAAGGCGUUGAGGUUAAUAACCUCAUCGAUUGACGUUACCCGCAGAAGAAGCACCGGCUAACUCCGUGCCAGCAGCCGCGGUAAUACGGGGGGUGCAAGCGUUAAUCGGAAUUACUGGGCGUAAAGCGCACGCAGGCGGUCUGUCAAGUCGGAUGUGAAAUCCCCGGGCUUAACCUGGGAACUGCAUUCGAAACUGGCAGGCUAGAGUCCUGUAGAGGGGGGUAGAAUUC
rnacentral:rRNA from 1 species